rnacentral:rRNA from 1 species
CGCAAUGGGGGGAACCCUGACGCAGCAACGCCGCGUGAAGGAAGAAGGCCUUCGGGUUGUAAACUUUUUUGAUUGGGGAAGAAAAAAAUGACGGUACCCAAGGAACAAGCCACGGCUAACUACGUGCCAGCAGCCGCGGUAAUACGUAGGUGGCGAGCGUUGUCCGGAAUUACUGGGUGUAAAGGGCGUGUAGGCGGGAUUGUAAGUCAGAUGUGAAAUUCCAGGGCUUAACUCUGGAGGUGCAUCUGAAACUAUAAUUCUUGAGUGCUGGAGAGGAAAGCGGAAUUCCUAGUGUAGCGGUGAAAUGCGUAGAUAUUAGGAAGAACACCAGUGGCGAAGGCGGCUUUCUGGACAGUAACUGACGCUGAGGCGCGAAAGCGUGGGGAGCAAACAGGAUUAGAUACCCUGGUAGUCCACGCUGUAAACGAUGGAUACUAGGUGUAGGAGGUAUCGACCCCUUCUGUGCCGGAGUUAACACAAUAAGUAUCCCACCUGGGGAGUACGGCCGCAAGGCUGAAACUCAAAGGAAUUGACGGGGGCCCGCACAAGCAGUGGAGUAUGUGGUUUAAUUCGAAGCAACGCGAAGAACCUUACCAGGGCUUGACAUCCCUCGGAUAACAUAGAGAUAUGUUAGUCCUUCGGGACGAGGAGACAGGUGGUGCAUGGUUGUCGUCAGCUCGUGUCGUGAGAUGUUGGGUUAAGUCCCGCAACGAGCGCAACCCCUAUUGUUAGUUGCCAUCAUUAAGUUGGGCACUCUAACGAGACUGCCGGUGACAAAUCGGAGGAAGGUGGGGACGACGUCAAAUCAUCAUGCCCCUUAUGUCCUGGGCUACACACGUACUACAAUGGUCACUACAAAGGGAAGCAAUACCGCAAGGAGGAGCAAAUCCCCAAAGGUGACCUCAGUUCGGAUUGUGGGCUGAAACCCGCCCACAUGAAGUCGGAAUUGCUAGUAAUGGCAGGUCAGCAUACUGUCGUGAAUACGUUCCCGGGCAUUGUACACACCGCCCGUCACACCAUGAGAGUUUGCAACACCCG